rnacentral:rRNA from 1 species
GUCCAUGCCGUAAACGUUGGGCACUAGGUGUGGGGAACAUUCCACGUUUUCCGCGCCGUAGCUAACGCAUUAAGUGCCCCGCCUGGGGAGUACGGCCGCAAGGCUAAAACUCAAAGGAAUUGACGGGGCCCGCACAAGCGGCGGAGCAUGCGGAUUAAUUCGAUGCAACGCGAAGAACCUUACCAAGGCUUGACAUGUGCUAGAUCGCCAUAGAAAUAUGGUUUCCCCUUUUGGGGCUGGUUCACAGGUGGUGCAUGGUUGUCGU